GGAGAGGUACCCAAGAGGCUGAAGGGGGCGGUUUGCUAAAUCGCUAGGGGGGAGCAAUCCCUCGCGAGGGUUCGAAUCCCUCUCUCUCCGCCA
rnacentral:tRNA from 1 species